UUUCCGUAGGUGAACCUGCGGAAGGAUCAUUACCGAGUGCGGGCCCUCUGGGUCCAACCUCCCAUCCGUGUCUAUCUGUACCCUGUUGCUUCGGCGUGGCCACGGCCCGCCGAAGACUAACAUUUGAACACUGUCUGAAGUUUGCAGUCUGAGUUUUUAGUUAAACAAUAAUUAAAACUUUCAACAACGGAUCUCUUGGUUCCGGCAUCGAUGAAGAACGCAGCGAAAUGCGAUAAUUAAUGUGAAUUGCAGAAUUCAGUGAAUCAUCGAGUCUUUGAACGCACAUUGCGCCCCCUGGUAUUCCGGGGGGCAUGCCUGUCCGAGCGUCAUUGCUGCCCUCAAGCACGGCUUGUGUGUUGGGCUUCCGUCCCUGGUAACGGGGACGGGCCCAAAAGGCAGUGGCGGCACCAUGUCUGGUCCUCGAGCGUAUGGGGCUUUGUCACCCGCUCCCGUAGGUCCAGCUGGCAGCUAGCCUCGCAACCAAUCUUUUUAACCAGGUUGACCUCGGAUCAGGUAGGGAUACCCGCUGAACUUAA
rnacentral:rRNA from 1 species